rnacentral:rRNA from 1 species
CCUACGGGUGGCAGCAGUGAGGAAUAUUGGUCAAUGGCCGGAAGGCUGAACCAGCCAAGUCGCGUGAGGGACGACUGCCCUCUGGGUUGUAACUCUCUUUUAUAAGGGAAGAAUAAAUGCUACGCGUAUUAUGAUGCCUGUACCUUACGAAUAAGCAUCGGCUAACUCCGUGCCAGCGGCCGCGGUAAUACGGAGGAUGCGAGCGUUAUCCGGACUUAUUGGGGUUAAAGGGUGCGUAGGGGGAUUUUUAAGUUAGUGGUUAAACGUCGGGGCUUGACCUUGAUUUGCCAUUAAUACUGUAAGACUCGAGUUCAGACGAGGUAAGCGGAAUAAGUUAAGUAGCGGUGAAAUGCUUAGAUAUAACGUAGAACACCGGUGGCGAAGGCGGCUUACCGGACUGCAACUGACGCUGAGGCACGAGAGCGUGGGUAGCGAACAGGAUUAGAUACCCUUGUAGUC